UAUUACCUACGGGGCGCAGCAGUCGGGAAUAUUGCGCAAUGGAGGAAACUCUGACGCAGUGACGCCGCGUAUAGGAAGAAGGUUUUCGGAUUGUAAACUAUUGUCGUGAGGGAAGAAAUUGACAGUACCUCAGGAGGAAGCUCCGGCUAACUAUGUGCCAGCAGCCGCGGUAAUACGUAGGGAGCGAGCGUUGUCCGGAAUUACUGGGUGUAAAGGGAGCGUAGGCGGGCGAGAAAGUUGAAUGUUAAAUCUACCGGCUUAACUGGUAGCUGCGUUCAAAACUUCUUGUCUUGAGUGAAGUAGAG
rnacentral:rRNA from 1 species